AUUGAACGCUGGCGGCAGGCCUAACACAUGCAAGUCGAACGGUAGCACAGAGAGCUUGCUCUCGGGUGACGAGUGGCGGACGGGUGAGUAACGUCUGGGAAACUGCCCGAUGGAGGGGGAUAACUACUGGAAACGGUAGCUAAUACCGCAUAACGGCGCAAGACCGAAGUGGGGGACCUUCGGGCCUCACACCAUCGGAUGUGCCCAGAUGGGAUUAGCUAGUAGGUGGGGUAAUGGCUGACCUAGGCGACGAUCCCUAGCUGUGCUGAGAGGAUGACCAGCCACACUGGAACUGAGACACGGUCCAGACUCCUACGUGAGGCAGCAGUGGGGAAUAUUGAACAAUGGGCGCAAGCCUGAUGCAGCCAUGCCGCGUGUAUGAAGAAGGCCUUCGGGUUGUAAAGUACUUUCAGCGGGGAGGAAGGCGGUGAAGUUAAUAGCUUCACCGAUUGACGUUACCCGCAGAAGAAGCACCGGCUAACUCCGUGCCAGCAGCCGCAGUAA
rnacentral:rRNA from 1 species